AAAAUUGCUGUGCUUUGUGUGGAGGAUAUUUAUUAGUAAUUGGAUUGCCUCCGAAAUUACAACAACAGCAGAUAAUCUACCCCCUAGAAAAAACCUGGAUAUUGCUGGCUUGCUCCUUUAUAGCAAAUGGAAAAGAAGAGGUGCUGCAAAAUAUGUGGCACAGCUGAGGAGAUUUUCUGCAAGGACAUUCUAAGCUCCCAGGAAAAAAACCAUACAGAAGAACAAGUACGUUUCACAAGGAUGUCUUAGACAACACAACUAGAAAAAGUUUGCCAUCUGCUACGAUUCCAUUAAAUGCUAAAAUGUGAAAUUUUCAAGCUUCUCCUUUUGGUGGUAAAGGUUUAAGCAGCUAAAUCCAUAACUACAGUUUGAAUCCAUCCAGGCAUAUGUGGAUUGUUUAUGCCUGGAUGCCUGAAAAAGCCUAAAUUUGUACACAGAGAUAAGUAAAUUUUGAUUAAUGAGUCAUAUUGAUACAUAACCCUCUACCUCUAUUUCACAGACUUCCGAGUACACAAACAUCUUGUGAUAAGGAAAUAUUCCAUUAUGAAACAGGAAUUCACUUAAAAAGAUAAAGUCUUAAAAAUAACUAUUACCUAUCU